rnacentral:rRNA from 1 species
AUUGAACGCUGGCGGCAUGCUUUACACAUGCAAGUCGGACGAGUGGCGAACGGGUGAGUAACGCAUCGGAACGUACCGAGUAAUGGGGGAUAACUGUCCGAAAGGACAGCUAAUACCGCAUAUUAUUCGAGCGGCCGAUGUCUGAUUAGCUGGUUGGCGGGGUAAAGGCCCACCAAGGCGACGAUCAGUAGCGGGGCUGAGAGGAUGCUCCGCCAAACUGGGACUGGAGAACGGGCCAGAAUCCUACGGGAGGCAGCAGUGGGGAAUUUUGGACAAUGGGCGCAAGCCGUAUCCAGCCAUGGCGCGGGUCUGAAGAAGGCCUUCGGGUUGUAAAGGACUUUUGGCAGGGAAGCGGUACCUGAAGAAUAAGCACCGGCUAACUACGUGCCAGCAGCCGCGGUAAUAC